rnacentral:lncRNA from 1 species
UCGCGCCCAAGGCAGGCCCUUUGUUUUAGCCAGCCAGCCGAGCAGCACGUUGUUUGACCACAGAGCGCAUUGUUUUUGUCCAGCUCUAAUGAGCCAACUUAUGUACGAUCGCAUCUUACUAGGCAAGGAAGCCCCGUCCGGUUGUGGACAGAUGUAUCCAAGGUAGUUGGGGGUCUACCGUCU